UACAGAGGGGGCGAGCGUUGUUCGGAAUUACUGGGCGUAAAGGGCGCGUAGGCGGCCCGCUAAGUCGAACGUGAAAUCCCCAGGCUCAACCUGGGAACUGCGUCCGAUACUGGCAGGCUUGAAUCCGGGAGAGGGAUGUGGAAUUCCAGGUGUAGCGGUGAAAUGCGUAGAUAUUCGCAAGAACACCAGUGGCGAAGGCGGCUCACUGGCCCGGUACUGACGCUGAGGUGCGAAAGCGUGGGGAGCAAACAGG
rnacentral:rRNA from 1 species